GCAGGGGUAGCCAAGCCUGGCUAAAGGCGCAGGCUUCAGGAGCCUGUCCCGUAGGGGUUCGUGGGUUCAAAUCCCACCCCCUGCA
rnacentral:tRNA from 1 species